rnacentral:rRNA from 1 species
AUUGAACGCUGGCGGCAGGCCUAACACAUGCAAGUCGAACGAGUGGCGGACGGGUGAGUAAUGUCUGGGAAACUGCCUGAUGGAGGGGGAUAACUACUGGAAACGGUAGCUAAUACCGCAUACCAUCAGAUGUGCCCAGAUGGGAUUAGCUUGUUGGUGGGGUAACGGCUCACCAAGGCGACGAUCCCUAGCUGGUCUGAGAGGAUGACCAUCCACACUGGAACUGAUCCACGGUCCCGACUCCUACUAUGUCCAACAGUAUUUAAUAUUGCACAAUGGGCGCAAGCCUGAUUCAGCCAUGCCGCGUGUAUGAAGAAGGCCUUCGGGUUGUAAAGUACUUUCAGCGGGGAGGCGUUACCCGCAGAAGAAGCACCGGCUAACUCCGUGCCAGCAGCCGCGGUAAUAC